rnacentral:rRNA from 1 species
AUUGAACGCUGGCGGCAGGCCUAACACAUGCAAGUCGAGCGGACGAAGAGGGCUUGCUCCUGGAUGCAGCGGCGGACGGGUGAGUAAUGCCUAGGAACCUGCCUGGUAGUGGGGGCUAACGUCCGGAAACGGGCACUAAUACCGCAUAAGUCCUUAGGGCGAAAGGGUGGGAUCUGGGGACCUUAGGCUAUCAGUGGAGUCAAGGUCGGAUUAGCUAGUUGGUGGGGUAAAGGGCUACCAGGGCGACGAUCCGUAACUGGUCUGAGAGGAUGAGCCGUCACACUGGAACUGAGACACGGUCCAGACUCCUACGGGAGGCCGCAGUGGGGAAUCUUGGACAAUGGGCGAGAGCCUGAUCCAGCCCUACCGCGUGUGUGCAGAAGGUCUUCGGCUUGUAAAGCACUUUAGGUUGGGAGGAAGGGCAGCAAGUUAAUACCUUGCUGUUUUGACGUUACCAACAGAAUAAGCACCGGCUAACUUCGUG